GGGCGAGUGGCGGAACUGGCAGACGCGGGGGACUUAAAAUCCCCUCCUCGUUCGGGGGUCCGGGUUCGAGUCCCGGCUCGCCCACUA
rnacentral:tRNA from 2 species